ACAGAUGUUGACACUGAUGAAAAAAACCAGGUUCAUGGAGUUCAGCGUGGAGCACUUGUGGUCGUAAAUUCAAUGGAUCAAUCCAAGGCUAAAACUGGUGACCAAAAGGUGCUGCGUAGGUUGGCUCAGAAUCGGGAAGCUGCAAAAAAGAGUCGACUGAGGAAGAAGGUAAUGU